rnacentral:rRNA from 1 species
CAUGCAAGUCGACGGUAACAGGCCGCAAGGUGCUGACGAGUGGCGAACGGGUGAGUAAUGCAUCGGAACGUGCCCAGUCGUGGGGGAUAACGCAGCGAAAGCUGUGCUAAUACCGCAUACGAUCUGUGGAUGAAAGCGGGGGACCGAAAGGCCUCGCGCGAUUGGAGCGGCCGAUGUCAGAUUAGGUAGUUGGUGGGGUAAAGGCUCACCAAGCCAACGAUCUGUAGCUGGUCUGAGAGGACGACCAGCCACACUGGGACUGAGACACGGCCCAGACUCCUACGGGAGGCAGCAGUGGGGAAUUUUGGACAAUGGGCGCAAGCCUGAUCCAGCAAUGCCGCGUGCAGGAAGAAGGCCUUCGGGUUGUAAACUGCUUUUGUACGGAGCGAAAAGGCUCUCUCUAAUACAGGGGGUUCAUGACGGUACCGUAAGAAUAAGCACCGGCUAACUACGUGCCAGCAGCCGCGGUAAUACGUAGGGUGCAAGCGUUAAUCGGAAUUACUGGGCGUAAAGCGUGCGCAGGCGGUUUUGUAAGACAGGCGUGAAAUCCCCGGGCUCAACCUGGGAAUGGCGCUUGUGACUGCAAGGCUGGAGUGCGGCAGAGGGGGAUGGAAUUCCGCGUGUAGCAGUGAAAUGCGUAGAUAUGCGGAGGAACACCGAUGGCGAAGGCAAUCCCCUGGGCCUGCACUGACGCUCAUGC